rnacentral:rRNA from 1 species
GACGAACGCUGGCGGCGUGCUUAACACAUGCAAGUCGAACGGAAAGGCCCUGCUUUUGUGGGGUGCUCGAGUGGCGCACGGGUGAGUAACACGUGAGUAACCUGCCCUUGACUUGGGGAUAACUUGAGGAAACUGGGGCUAAUACCGGAUAGGAGCUCCUGCUGCAUGGUGGGGGUUGGACAGUUUCGGCGGAUGGGGAUGGACUCGCGGCUUAUUAGCUUGUUGGUGGGGUAGUGGCUUACCAAGGCUUUGACGGGUAGCCGGCCUGAGAGGGUGACCGGCCACAUUGGGACUGAGAUACGGCCCAGACUCCUACGGGAGGCAGCAGUGGGGAAUAUUGCACAAUGGGCGGAAGCCUGAUGCAGCAACGCCGCGUGCGGGAUGACGGCCUUCGGGUUGUAAACCGCUUUCGCCUGUGACGAAGCGUGAGUGACGGUAAUGGGUAAAGAAGCACCGGCUAACUACGUG